AUGGGGAGGUGACGAGAGACCUCACUCGCCUCCGAUUCCCGGCACGAGAAACAAUAGGUGGUCGGCGGCGGCGCUGACUUGCAGGCUCGGCCCGGUGGCCUCUCCCUCUGCGCCCAGAGCGCCUGCGGAGGUGGCCGCGAACGCGGGAGGAGGGGAAAGGAGGCCGAGGGGCGGAGGCGGGCUCACCUCCCGCCGGCCUCCGAGACCACCCGGUCCUGGGGGGUGGGUGCGCGCCUCUCCGCCCCUCUCCUCCCCGUCGCACACAAAGCGCUGGCGGCCCGGCCCGGUACGGCGGCGGCGGCGGCGGAAGGCUCCGGUGCCGGCGAGAGGAGGCGACAACUAGGUGAACAGAUGGCUCUCUCCUUGAAUUCUAAGUGGUGGGUAAGGAAAGAGGAAAAUGGAGGGAAGAAAAAUUAAGUUGAGAAUGUGGCCAUGUGUGUCACGAGGUGGAUGAGAUCAUUCCUAUGUUGUGGAAGCUGAAGUGCUUUUCUAAGUCCAUGGGUGGUCUGGCCGGAUUUCCGAGAAUGGUAAGGUGACUCAGUGGGUCCUCCUCUUGCCUGGGUGAGCACAGACUCCAGAGCAUAGGGCGAGCUCACCAGGCUGAGCUCACAUCGGACCUCAGAGAUGCUGGAGAUGAACAAUGA